GACGAACGCUUGCGGCGUGCUUAACACAUGCAAGUCGAACGGAAAGGCCCUGCUUUUGUGGGGUGCUCGAGUGGCGAACGGGUGAGUAACACGUGAGUAACCUGCCCUUGACUUUGGGAUAACUUCAGGAAACUGGGGCUAAUACCGGAUAGGAGCUCCUGCUGCAUGGUGGGGGUUGGAAAGUUUCGGCGGUUGGGGAUGGACUCGCGGCUUAUCAGCUUGUUGGUGGGGUAGUGGCUUACCAAGGCUUUGACGGGUAGCCGGCCUGAGAGGGUGACCGGCCACAUUGGGACUGAGAUACGGCCCAGACUCCUACGGGAGGCAGCAGUGGGGAAUAUUGCACAAUGGGCGGAAGCCUGAUGCAGCAACGCCGCGUGCGGGGUGACGGCCUUCGGGUUGUAAACCGCUUUCGCCUGUGACGAAGCGUGAGUGACGGUAAUGGGUAAAGAAGCACCGGCUAACUACGUGCCAGCAGCCGCGGUGAUACGUAGGGUGCGAGCGUUGUCCGGAUUUAUUGGGCGUAAAGGGCUCGUAGGUGGUUGAUCGCGUCGGAAGUGUAAUCUUGGGGCUUAACCCUGAGCGUGCUUUCGAUACGGGUUGACUUGAGGAAGGUAGGGGAGAAUGGAAUUCCUGGUGGAGCGGUGGAAUGCGCAGAUAUCAGGAGGAACACCAGUGGCGAAGGCGGUUCUCUGGGCCUUUCCUGACGCUGAGGAGCGAAAGCGUGGGGAGCGAACAGGCUUAGAUACCCUGGUAGUCCACGCUGUAAACGGUGGGUACUAGGUGUGGGGUCCAUUCCACGGGUUCCGUGCCGUAGCUAACGCUUUAAGUACCCCGCCUGGGGAGUACGGCCGCAAGGCUAAAACUCAAAGGAAUUGACGGGGCCCCGCACAAGCGGCGGAGCAUGCGGAUUAAUUCGAUGCAACGCGUAGAACCUUACCUGGGUUUGACAUGGAUCGGGAGUGCUCAGAGAUGGGUGUGCCUCUUUUGGGGUCGGUUCACAGGUGGUGCAUGGCUGUCGUCAGCUCGUGUCGUGAGAUGUUGGGUUAAGUCCCGCAACGAGCGCAACCCUUGUUCACUGUUGCCAGCACGUUAUGGUGGGGACUCAGUGGAGACCGCCGGGGUCAACUCGGAGGAAGGUGGGGAUGACGUCAAGUCAUCAUGCCCCUUAUGUCCAGGGCUUCACGCAUGCUACAAUGGCUGGUACAGAGAGUGGCGAGCCUGUGAGGGUGAGCGAAUCUCGGAAAGCCGGUCUCAGUUCGGAUUGGGGUCUGCAACUCGACCUCAUGAAGUCGGAGUCGCUAGUAAUCGCAGAUCAGCAACGCUGCGGUGAAUACGUUCCCGGG
rnacentral:rRNA from 1 species